AUCCUCCGUCUUCUCCGAUAUGUCAAAUCGGAUCAUUCCUGGUACAAUCAAACAUCCUACGGGCUGUCGUCAAUGAACCCUUUACAAUGACAUGUUUCAGCAGAAGCAACCCUCCUCCUUCAUGGUAUACAUGGAUACUCCUAUAUGGUAUAAAACUGAAUGGUGCUCAACUUUCCAUUCAAAGCAUGCAGACAAGCGAUAGUUUUCAAUACAUACUUGACGUGGUCAAUGAAAUGAAUGCAACGUUCGCACGGGAUGUUGUUAACGGGUAUAUAACCGACUCGUACACAUUUGGAAUUUUAUAUCCAGUGACAAAUAUCUUCUAUCGUGAGCAAACUGAUCAAUACAUAACAAUUUCAACUAUAACCGUUAUUAGAGGUCGAAUGGUCAGAUUGGGAUGCAAUGCCUUUUCAAAUCCCGCAGCGCGUUUUUCAUGGGUAUUAAGUGGUGUUGUAGUUGCAAACGGCACUACUUGGAAUACUAAUUUCGUCGACAACACUGUCAUUGUGUGCAUUGCAACUAAUACACUCGACCCGACUGGGAUAAAAGCGAGGAUCACUUCAAGAUCUUGGAAUGUUUCCAUCGAUGUAUUAUAUGCUCCUGAGACGCCACAAUUCACUUUUCAAACUUGUGCAACGUAUUCUCAAACGAAUCAUAUGUGAUGAUCCGAGGUCAUUCCGUCUCUGGCAGAUGUACUUCGAAGAGUGAACCGGGCUCAAAGUUUUUAUGGACAACGGCCAAUAGUGGCAUUGGGGAAUGUUUCUUUAUCAACAACGUCAGUAGACAACACAGUGGCAAUUACACGUGCAUUGCAAAUAAUGAAAUGAACACAAAGUUUGGUGGGAUUAUCAAUGGAACAAAUGAGUCCAGUUUUUAUCUAAACGUCUAAGCACCAGCUGAUGCUCUGUUCAUUGGUAAUGUAACGGUUUCAUUGAACACAACGUUAUCAGUCACCUGCCCAUACACGAUUGGAAACUCAGCGGAGACGAGAUUCACGUGGUUCCGCGGAAAUACUUCAGCUAUUGGAUCUCAUCAAAAUCUGUCUCUGUCCAAUGUGCAGCUCUUAGGCGAAGGAUACUAUAAAUGCAGAGUCAACAACACUAUGGACCCUACGGGAUGUGCCACUCAGGAGGCAUACGAUGAAACAACAUUUUACGUGGAUGUGCAGUGUUCACCAAGACCUUCACCAUUUGCUCCACCGAUUCCCGUAGUAUAUUGAAGAAGUGCAUCAGCUAUUUUAACGUUCACUAUCGUGGCUUAUCCUCCCACAAAUGACGUAUCAGCAUAUGUUUGGCGUAAGCAGGUAGAUGGUGAAUGGGCAACACUGCACAAUAACAGCAGGUUCCAAAUUCGCACAUCAAACGACAAUCUGCAGACGAACCUUUCCAUAUCACAACUGCAAAUUGACGGUUUUACAAACUAUUCGAUCCGUGUUAACAAUCCUUUCGGAUCUACAGAGCAAAUAUUUGUCAUCCGAGCGAAUGAGCAGCCCUCUAUGCCACAACAACUUCUUGUCGUCGACGCCAUGGUGACUGAACGUUCAGUCACAGUCCAAUGGACACCUGGAUUUAAUGCCGGUGAAGACCAAUGGUUCAUGAUCGGUUACAAACAUGCAGGAGAUGAAACCUGGACUUACAUGAACGUAUCUUCAACAGUUAGUCAACUGAGUAUUGGGGAAUUAGUUCCGGGCACCAAGUAUGACGUAAAAAUGUAUGCAGAGAAUAUCACGGACAAUCUGGUGAGACUACUGUGUUAAGUGUGACAACACAGUCUUCAAAUAACGGAUCCUCUCCACGUGUCGGAGCUGCAAUAGGUGGUGCUGUAGGCGGAACUCUUGCGGUAGUCAUUUUCGUGGUGCUGUGGAAAUAUAAGAACGCGUUUAAACUUAUUAUUUCAGAGACGGAUAUGUAUCAUUAUACUACGAACAUACACUAGAAAUGAAGUGUAAACCUGGUGAAGGUGCUCAUUACACUGACCUGUUCAAUAGACAAGUUGAUGUCCCUCCUGCCAAUGCCAGGUCCGAAUAUGAAGCCUACCGAGUCGAAGCCCAGCAAACAAACCAGUACGAGACACUUGCGGAAACUUCUUUUCAUGGAUAUUCGGUUUUAUCACCUGGUGUAAAACAUGAUUUUAGUGUUAUGAACCGUGUAAAUCAAGUUACUGAAACUGAUCGUGCAAUCGUAAAUCAGGACAAUGCCUAUGUUACUUUGUCGUUUUCAGAUUGUUAAUUGUAAGUAUGUGUUGAAUGUGCAUUGUGUUGAUACAAGCAAUAUUUGAAUUUAGAUUGUUUAAUAUUUUUAUUCAUACUGAAACAAAAAGGGAUAAAUUUAAUUGACCAUAAGCAUAGAUGUAUUUAAUUUUCCGAUAAGAAUGCAGCUUUUAAAUUCAACUUAUCAACGCGUGUUAUUAUCAUACCGCUUUACGUUGAUGAAAUAACGACUUUAUUCUUACAGAUAUGAACAUAGAAAAUAUCUAAUAGUUUAAUAAUAAGUUUAUGAUUUUAAGUGGAAUAUUUAACGAAUCAAGUGAUUAUAACUGUAACAGAUAAUACACUAUUUAAUUACCUAUAGUAAACAUAUGUAUGACGAAAAUCCGUUACAUAAUAAAAGCGUUUACCAAUUAAAGGGAUACAACUCAAAUAUAUUUUACACUAAUGUUAUUGAUAUCGUUAUGCUAUUAUUUUCGUAAAACAAUAUGAAUAUACACAAACGAUAUGUAUUACAUCAUUAACAUUAUUUGAAAGAUAUUACUAGAUAUAUGGUGGUUAUUUGAAUUAAUUAAACACCUUUUGAAUCAUAUCUUAAACUAAAGAUCGUUCGUAGCACAUUAUUAAUGUACAUGUGUUUGUUACAAGUGUUAUUUAGGGACACUGUAAUGUGUUUUUAGUAUGAGAAUGUUGUGCAUAUAAAACAAUUAUUUAUCGAUCAUAGAGAUUGUAUUUUUGCGAGAGAGUUUUACACUAAAUGAAAUGAGCAGUUUCCAUUAAUUAACUACAGACACAAAAAGUAAAACAAAAUCAACAGUUCAACGUGCAGCUUGUGUUUGGAAACUAUUCAAGCACCAGUGACAAUUUGAUGACGUAAACAUAUGAACCAUGUAAAAUAAAAAUACUAUUCAAAAUGUAUUGUGUUAAUUUAAUAUGUAGUGUUUGUUUUGCAUGCUUUCGUUUUAAGUAAUUGUUAACAAAUGGUUUAUUGACUGAAUAAUCAAUUAUCUUUUAAACUUUGUUCUUAAUGUACAUGUAAUAAUGUCAACACCACCAGUAUUAUGCUACUCGAUCAAGUCGUCAUGAAAUCUGAUGAGCAAUCACUUCAACCUUUGAUUGAAUAAUAUAUCACCAUUUUUUCGAUAAUUUAGACGGUCCUCGAUCUCGUGAGGGAAUCGUUAUAUAAAAAAACCCGCUAAAUAUGUUAUUUUCUUUGGGUGACAUUGAGCCAUUCAAAUGCCUUAACACCGGUUAGUGCCAUACUUUGGCUCUCACA